UGAUUAUAGUGGGAGACACACUUUGCGACAAAGGCGGACGGACGUUAUAGAGAAGAAGAAGAGAAUUGUGAGAGAAAUGCAAGGAAAAGAAAAAAUUGUUGGCGUUUGACAUUUAUCAAUUUUUGGAAUUGUCAUGGAAUUCAUUUGGAUUUAAUAAUUUUUUUUUUGUUCUUCUUUAUCUUUUUUUUCUUAACUUCCUCCUACUGGUUCGUCUUUCUUUCUCUCUCCUCCUCAUCCCUGGGUAUUGUUUACUGCCAUUACAUGCUUCGUUGUGCGCAGAUUUUAUUACACUUUCAACGAGUAAUUGAAUAGGAAACAAAUAAGAACUUCAUUUUUUUAUAGGUAUACAAAGAAAUGUGGAUGGAAUUAGAAGAAAAAUGCUUUGCUUAGUAAACACUCCUCAUAGCAUCUCUCCAAUACCUUCUUUCAGCAUUACCAAAAUUUCUCCUUCUUUUCAUUCUUAAAACCCGGUAAAUACAUUUAAGAAAGUCGCUAUAUCUCAAUCAUCCCGAGUCAGGUGCUGCAAAGUCCUAGACGUUUGUGUGUCUAGAAAGCUCAUAGUCCAAAGAUGCACUUGCAUGUCCAAAGGUACACAUAAACACCUGUUCAUUCACAUUAUGUCUCUUGAAAACCUCCCUCCCCCUUUUUAGUUACUGUAAUCUUCUUCGCUCCGACACUCUUGCAGUACAAGUGAAAUUGUUUAUCACAAAAAAAAAACGUUCGCACGCCCCCUAUGAUUUUUCUUGCUCUCUAUUGCAAUACAAAUCCUGAAAGAGUCAAACGAUUUUAAUUAUUGAAGUGUGCUAUUAUACCAAUUUUUAAGUGCGAUGCCUCACGUCCUUUGUCCUUUCGACCUUUUUUUCGCUUCUCAUUACCUUAAAAAUAACCCCACGUUGCACCAACACUCGGUUCGGCUUUAAAAACUGCGGCUACCUGAUAUCAUGCUCCAACCAAAAUUCUCCCUCCAAAAUUAAGCAUCGCGUAAUUCUCGUUUGACCUUAUAAGCCUCGCCUCUUCUAUUGUAAUUUCUGAACCGAAGAAUGCCCCACACCUUGUAGUGCGCUACCGUUAUCGUCGGUAUGAAUGAUAAGACAAGUUAUGUGGCUACCUUCGUAACUGCCGUAGUGUGUCAUCAACGGUACUCGAAAAGUCAUUAAAUAUGUGAAACGAUUGAUUAGAAGCAGUCGAAGAGCUCUUUCAUUCAUAGUUAUGAAAUUCUUUUUUCUUUCGUUGCCCUUGGCGUAAUGUUGUCUUCUCCUUUAGGGUUUUCAAUUUUAUCGUACUACGCACUGGCUCACUGUUUUCAAACUAGUUGAGUGUACUGAGUUAUAGAAAUCUAUACUCGAAAGAAGAGAUUGCAAUCGAUGAGGAUUUUCUUUUUCCUGAAAGAUAGAGGAUUGUGCUUUGAUUACUUUUAAUUUCUACUUACUAGCCGUUCUCUUUUGAUCUGAGGUGAUGUUCUCAAAGUCUUGAGAGCACACAAAGGCAAACGUUGCAAAUUUCGCUUUUUCUCGAAUAUCGUGAAUCGUUUCGCUCAAUCUGUUCAAUCAAUUACAAAAAAUAUUUUUGAAUAGGUAUAUUUUUGAUUUCGCCUAAGCCUUUACUUUUUGGUUCUUGUUUGAUCUCCCAGAUAUCUGAUAACCAUAAUGGCUUAACGAAUUUCAUAUGCUAAUCACUGACCGUUAUGAAUACAAUUUCCUUGGUUUUAAAAGACUUCAAAAUCCUCACUACUGUCACUGCCGCUGGCCCUAAAACAUGUUUAUGACUUAAAAGACACAUACAUUUUGUAUUCUAAGGUCGUCCAACGCAAAAUUUCAUAAAUGCCCUACAGACUUUAUAAUGUUGCAUAGUCAUUGUACAGAUCGAAAUUGGCAUACUCAUGAUUAGUUAUGUAGAAUUUCUUUAUUUCCUCAUAUCGUCAUUGAUGACUGUGGUAAAUGAAACCACCCAAAACAUAAAUCUUCUAUCCAAACAAAAGAACUCUAAAAGUCUGCAAAGUUGCAGGAAACAAUAAGCUAGUUACGUGCCAGCCAAAUCUUUAUAGGAAACCAUAAAACGUGAGCUGGUUUUACUUUUUUUAAAGGUCAUAGUUUCUAAUCGUGUAUUUCGAAAAAAUGUGAAGAAUAAAGGAAAAGAAUCGAUGAAUUGCGUCUAACUUCUCAUCUGGGAAAAGAAGUUGUAAGUAAAAGUACAGGAUCGCCAAAACAAAAGGGAACAUAAGAGACAAUCGAAGUAUGACUCCGGCAUCCUCAAGUUUGACAGCGCUCAAAUUUUUGAAUUUUCCUACAAACUGAAGACAAAGCAAGCCAUCAGCAGAAACACUAACUAGUGCUUCAGAAUCAGGGGAUAACUGCAUAUCAGUUACUGGAAGGCUAUGCUUAUAAACUUGAGACAAUUUCUAGCAUGCAUAUUAGAAGGCAAAAUCGCAAUAAAAAUAUUUAAGUAAACACAUACCGUUAAGUCUAAAGACAUGAAACGAAUGCUGCAAUCUGCUCCAGCAACUAUGAUCAUUCCAUUCUCCUUAUCACAGCAAAAGCAGGUGACGCCCUUUGCAUUUUUUAAAUCUCGGAUCAUGCCAAAUCUCCAAAGUUGAUUCUUUGAACUGUAAUCAAAUCGAACCAAUGAAGCAAACCUUUUGGAAUCUUUAAUAUAGUUAUAAGCAGCUACUAUGGAUUGGUUGGGUAAAAACGAAACACCUCGUACUGUGGCUCGCUCUACCGGCAUGUAAAGUACUUGCACCAAUUCAAAAGUGUUCCAAUCAUAAAUUUCGACGCGAUCAUCAACUGCAAUUGCAAGCUACAAAAGAAUGGUAAGGAUUUAAUAAAUAAAAUUUAGUAAAGGCUGUGGCUUACCUUGUCUUCAGUAGAUGAAACGUCAUACACAUCUGAACCAUGUUUUUCAAACAAAACUUUGUGAUCAUUUUUGGAGAUGAUAAAAAAACUUUUAUUAGUGCAAGAUAUACAAAUUGCAUCGUGUAAUGGCUCAAAUAAACAUAACCUUUGAUAUUGUUCAUCAUUGUCAAAAUCGGUUAACCUGAGAGCGUUCUUUUCCUCAAAUAGUUUAUCCUUUCUUCCAUAUAAACGUAAAUGGUCAAUUAACUUUCCGUCAAUGGUGUUAUUAAUACCGGCUAUUAAUUCCUACAAUUUAAUUUCGUUAGCUAUGCAAUAAAAAAAUAUUGCAUACAUUUUUAAAAUAACCCAACGACAUAACGGCAUCAUCCGAAUGCUUAAGUUCGAUUUCUCCAUGUUCUAUAAAUUUUGUAUGACCUUCACCAACUUCAGGUUCAUAGUCUUCAUAUGAUAAUAACUUCUAAAUUCGACAAACUAAUUAGCGCCUAUAGUCC